rnacentral:rRNA from 1 species
GAUGAACGCUGGCGGCGUGCCUAAUACAUGCAAGUCGAGCGAAGCGGGGACGGGUGAGUAACACGUGGAUAACCUCCUAUAAGACUGGGAUAACUUCGGGAAACCGGAGCUAAACCUGAUGCUUAUAGAUGGUUCCGCGCUGCAUUACCUAGUUGGUAAGGUAACGGAUUACCAAGGCAACGAUGCAUAGCCGACCUGAGAGGGGGGUCGGCCACCCCGGAACGGAAAUGCGGCCCAGACUCCUCUGGGAGGCAGCAGUAGGGAAUCGUCCGUAAGGGGCGAAGGGCUGACCGAGAACAGCCGAGUGAGGGAUGAAGUUCUUCGGAUAUUAAACCUCUGUUAUUAGGGAAUAGGUACCUAAUCAGAAAGCCACGGCUAACUACGUGCCAGCAGCCGCGGUAAUAC